UACGAAGGGUGCAAGCGUUACUCGGAAUUACUGGGCGUAAAGGGUGCGUAGGUGGUUUGUUAAGUCUGCUGUGAAAUCCCCGGGCUCAACCUGGGAAUGGCAGUGGAUACUGGCAAGCUAGAGUGCGGUAGAGGGUAGUGGAAUUCCCGGUGUAGCGGUGAAAUGCGUAGAGAUCGGGAGGAACACCAGUGGCGAAGGCGGCUCACUGGCCCGGAACUGACGCUGAGACGCGAAAGCGUGGGGAGCAAACAGG
rnacentral:rRNA from 1 species